UAUGCGAUCUCCUAUUCGAUCGUGUCAGUCUGUUUCCAGAGCUGGUGGCCACAGCUGCUUGGUAUCUCUGGUGGCAGAGAAGACGUGAAGUUCAUCACGAGAGACCCAGGCGUGUGACCGAGCUGCUUUCUCCAUUGCUGCACUGGCUCAGAACUUUACGAGAGCGGCAUCUCAUGAUAAGGCAGUACUCGUUCCGUUUCAUGAAACAAUACAUACUAGAUUUUUUUGAUUUGUUACACAAAUCAACACGUUUUUUUUCUUGGUUCCCGCAUCCGGCUAUAAUAACGGUUCACAUCCAUUUAGUACUAAUGUAGUAUAAGUGUUCGGACACUAAGAACGAGAGUUGUCUUAAUCUAAGUGCACAAAACUAUAUGAUGUGUUUUUUGUAAUGGAGGAAGUAGUAAAGAAGGCCGGCUGGUUGAGGCUGCCUGUUGAUUGUGUUAAAGUGAAUGUCGAUGCUGGUAUUGAUCCUGAUGAAUUGUGUGGAACUGUUGCUGCCGUGAUAAGAAAUAAUCAGGCUGUUUUUGUGACUCCUAUUAAAUGCAAGCUGGAGUGUGUGCCGGACGUUAUGACGGCUGAACCUUUUGCUCUCAGUCUCGGCCUGGAGCUUGCUCUUCUUAAUGGCUGCACAAAGGCCGUUUUUAGCUCGGAUAAUCUUCAGCUUAUCCAGAUUCUUAAGGGGGAGGUUCAGAAUUAUUGUCCGGCUGCUGCUCUUGUGAAGAGGCCCCUGCUUCCUCUCGGUUUGAUAUUCCACCCCGGUGCAUUGGGACUCGGCUGCGGUGACGUACUGCCCGUAGGUGGGGCCGGUCCCACGUGUCAGUGACUGUAAAGUCAGGGGCAUACUUCACUAAAUCCUCGUCGCGUGCAUUAUACCUCAUUUGGUUGAUGGUGUAACACCUAUUGUGAUAAGAAAUAAUCAGGAUGUUUUUUUUUUGUUGAGGGUUUGAGAGCUGUAUGUUGGGCAAUUUGGAAGACCUAGAAUGGGGGUUGUUUUGAAAAGAAAGUCUUACAUCAUCCUGAAUCUAUCGUUUUCUCCUUGUGCUCCUUUCUUCAGUUCUGGGCAAGUCUACAGAAGGGGCCUCGCCAACUACCGAUGAACGAUGGAGCUUGGCCUGUUGUGGCAGAUGGUGGUGCUACUGAGACGAUCUCGAGGAAGACUGUCGGCUCUUGGGAAGCUCCAGAUGACUGUUGAAGCUCGGUUGUCGGUGUUUUGCACGAAACUCUACCGUUGCAUUGGCAUUUGAUCCUUUUUUUGGAUCUGUAAUAUGUUAUCGCUCUAUCAUGUAUCAGGAUUUUGUUCCUGUAGUCUGUCUGAAACCCCUCUUUUCGACUUGUAGCGUGGCAAAGGGGGUCGAGUCGGCCCUAUUCGCAAUGAGUUUCCUGCUGGUUUUAUGUU